ensembl:lncRNA
GUUGAGGGUAUCUUGCUAAAGAUCCUUGCCUACCAGAGGCCUUCUAAGGGUGGAUUCGGUGAUUUCCAUGUCUGUGUGAUGCAUUACUUGGCACAUGAGCACAACACAUACCGUCACUUCAUCGUACUCAUCACUGACAACCCCAGCUCUAGGACAAGCAGAUGAAAAAUCAUCUCUACACUGUCACUUCCCUUCUUCCUCCUGCACUAGUUCAAAGGUUCACACUGUUUUGCAUUGUCCAGCCAUCUCCCAUCAGGGCCUUUGCUGCUGUAACCCACGAGCACCUUCACCUGGCCUGUGCACAGAUCUAGAGGAGAUGGAAUGCAGACUCGCAAAACACAGCUGCAAGGAGACCU